AAAAGACGACUGAUAA
rnacentral:sRNA from 1 species